rnacentral:misc_RNA from 1 species
CCGAGUUACACCUCUACAAACCCUUGUGAACAUACCUAUACUGUUGCUUCGGCGGCAGGGGUCCCCGGGACCCGCCGCCCCCCCGUACAAGGGACGGGCCCGCCCGAGGACCCCUAACUCUAGUUUUUACGUGGAACUUCUGAGUAAACCAACAAAUAAAUUA